rnacentral:rRNA from 1 species
UUAGAGUUUGAUCCUGGCUCAGAUUGAACGCUGGCGGCAGGCCUAACACAUGCAGUCGAGCGGAUGACGGGAGCUUGCUCCUUGAUUCAGCGGCGGACGGGUGAGUAAUGCCUAGGAAUCUGCCUGGUAGUGGGGGACAACGUUUCGAAAGGAACGCUAAUACCGCAUACGUCCUACGGGAGAAAGCAGGGGACCUUCGGGCCUUGCGCUAUCAGAUGAGCCUAGGUCGGAUUAGCUAGUUGGUGAGGUAAUGGCUCACCAAGGCGACGAUCCGUAACUGGUCUGAGAGGAUGAUCAGUCACACUGGAACUGAGACACGGUCCAGACUCCUACGGGAGGCAGCAGUGGGGAAUAUUGGACAAUGGGCGAAAGCCUGAUCCAGCCAUGCCGCGUGUGUGAAGAAGGUCUU